GAUGAAGAACGUAGCGAAAUGCGAUACGUAAUGUGAAUUGCAGAAUUCAGUGAAUCAUCGAAUCUUUGAACGCAUAUUGCGCUCUCUGGUAUUCCGGAGAGCAUGCUUGUUUGAGUAUCAGUAAACACCUCAACUUCCAUAUCUUUUUUGAAAUGGGAGUUGGACUUGAGUGAUCCCAACGCUUUUCCUCACCGAAAAGUGGCGGGUUACUUGAAAUGCAGGUGCAGCUGGACUUUUCUCUGAGCUAUAAGCAUAUCUAUUUAGUCUGCCUAAAAAACAGAUUAUUACCUUUGCUGCAGCUAACAUAAAGGAGAUUAGUUCUUGUGCUGACUGAUGCAGGAUUCACAAAGACAGGCUUCGGCCGACUUUGUAAACUCGAUCUCAAAUCAAGUAAGACUACGCGCUGAACUUAAGCAUAUCAAUAAGCGGAGGA
rnacentral:misc_RNA from 1 species